rnacentral:lncRNA from 1 species
CUGUCCUCUCCCGGGGAGGCGGCGGCGGCGGCGGCCCCGGCUGUGCCGCAGGCUCGGCGGCGGCGGGCAGCGGCGCUGCGGCAGGGUCCCGGCGGCCGUGCCCUACGAAGGGCCUGGGCCGGGCGCGCUGGGAAGCGGCGGGGCUGGAGCAGGCGGAGGGGAAGGAAAAAAACAAGAACCAUCAAGAUCAUCAGUGAUACCAUUUAAUGCACUUCUGGAAUGCGUUCAGAUAACACACCACGAAGGCAGAACACAGUGUGGCCAGGAGCAUGACUGGGCCACAAAUAAUUCGGUACAAUGAUCUUGCAGUGAUAUUAACAUUCUAGUUAGUCACUGCUAUUAGGGUAAACAUACUAAAAAAUGAACCACAUAAAGAAUUUCAUAACCUCAAAAUUCCAGAGACCAUGAGACACUUCGGUGUUCAUACUGCCCAUUAUGCUCUGAAUGUACAGAGAGUGUAGAAUAUGGGCUAGAUAGAAAAGGACAAAGAUACCAGCAAACAAUAUUCAGAAUCAACUCUUUAAUAAUUUAACUGUAUACUUCAGAGAGCAGAACGAUGUAAGCAACAUGGGAAUUCCCACCAACUGUGCUUUGUUUAGUUUAUUUCACUAAGCAUUUGUUUUUUUGUUGUCAAAGCAUAUAAAAACAUUAAAAGAAUCAGUUGUCUACAACUUUUAGGAUAGCAUCCAUGACAGUGGGCAGGAACCUCCCAGUACCUCAUCUUUCUUAUCGACUAUAUUGUAAUUCGGCUGAAGCAGUUGUGUAUCUGCCACAUUCCAGGUCACCUAUAGACAAGACCUACUGCGUCAACUGAUUGAGCAGCCAGGAAGAAAAGCCCUUUCCAUUAUGAAUGUUAUGACACAAGAGUUAGAUGGUUUAUUUCCUCAUUUAUCAGAAAUAGAAUCAAAUAUAAGAGCAUAAAGAAAUGAAGAGAUGCAUUCACAGUGCUAUAAAAACUUACUGAAAUACAUAAAUCUGGCUGUAGAAGGGGCAUUAUUUCUCUGGUAGCUACCCAUGUGUAUAUGGGAAUGGAGACUACUGGAAACAAGCAGAGUUGAAUAAAUGAUUUUUUCACA